GAUGUACGCUGGCGGCGUGCCUAAUACAUGCAAGUCGAGCGAACAGACGAGGAGCUUGCUCCUCUGACGUUAGCGGCGGACGGGUGAGUAACACGUGGAUAACCUACCUAUAAGACUGGGAUAACUUCGGGAAACCGGAGCUAAUACCGGAUAAUAUAUUGAACCGCAUGGUUCAAUAGUGAAAGACGGUUUUGCUGUCACUUAUAGAUGGAUCCGCGCCGCAUUAGCUAGUUGGUAAGGUAACGGCUUACCAAGGCAACGAUGCGUAGCCGACCUGAGAGGGUGAUCGGCCACACUGGAACUGAGACACGGUCCAGACUCCUACGGGAGGCAGCAGUAGGGAAUCUUCCGCAAUGGGCGAAAGCCUGACGGAGCAACGCCGCGUGAGUGAUGAAGGUCUUCGGAUCGUAAAACUCUGUUAUUAGGGAAGAACAAAUGUGUAGGUAACUAUGCACGUCUUGACGGUACCUAAUCAGAAAGCCACGGCUAACUACGUG
rnacentral:rRNA from 1 species